CCUCAGAAUUCAGGACAUGUCACAUUCCUGCACAUACACUGAUGAGCAUCCUUUGGGUCUUGCCAUAUUUGAAAUGCUCCAGUGCUCACUGUGCUAUAAUUUGGGCUCUUAUUAUUAGUCUUGUAGCUAAGCAACAGAUGGGCAGUCCAAAUGAUGUGGCAAGGGCAAGGUAUCUUGCAGAAAUGUGGCAAUUCAGAAGGAAAGGAAUACUCUGAAGCUUGGGAGAAUGUUUACCACCCUCAGUGUGCUUCAGAUCAAUGCCAAAAGAGCUCAAAAUUUGCCAGUGAGGUUAGGACAACAGGUCUACACUCAUUGUGACUGAGAAACAAACCUAGAAGAAUUAUCUGCGUGGCAGGAAAUUCAUGGCCUUCCAUUUGCUGCAGAAAGAAAAGUGGAGGAGCAUCAGCAAGAUUAAAGAAAUAUAUCUGGAAGCAAACUGAAGAGAGUUGUAUCUUGAUAUGGGAACCUACUAAAUGUUUGCUACUCUGUGAACUCCACAAAUUUUAAACCCUUCCAGGCAUGCAGUAAUGAACACCUGGCAGAGAACACCUCCCAUGUAGCUGCUUGGAAAACCUGGUUGGAAAGUCACUGGGAAUUGAUCUGAAAGUCAGGAGGCACAAACCUGCAGGGCUAGUAACAUCAGUGCUUGCCUGAAGCCAGCCUCUGACCUGCUGGAUUGGCUUCACAUUUGGGCCUCCUCUGUAAUGUCAGAUAAUGCUUCACAUUUGGGACUCCUCUACAAUGUCAGAUAAUGCUUCACAUUUGGGACUCCUCUAUAAUCCUUAGAUAAUGUCUGGUGAGAAUGCCUGCUCAGGAGAAAGGGGGAACAAGGGACAACCAGGGCCAAGAAAUGGACAUUAAAAAUUAAACCACAAGAUUUUGUGAAAUGUAAGCUGUGACCAGGAGAGAUUUUCUUCAUUCUCCACAUGUGUGGAUUAAACAAACAUCUUCUCUCCACUGGAUAUUUAGAGAAACUGUAGCACACAGAGACACCAGGAAGAGUGGGAAGCUCAGUCUAUGAGGCUAAAAAAGCCCCAGAGGAGUCAAAGCAGCAGUGCUCACAGGGUAACACUUGGAAGGUCAGGGCCAUGCUCUGGCCAGAGAAACUGUCAGUGUCUUCCAGUCCUUCUUGUCAGUGGAUUCAUGCCCACCUCAUUCUGGUCAGUGCCAAGAAUUCCCUCUGAGCCUUUCCUUAGGAGCAGCACCAUGCAGGGAGAGCUGGUAGAGCCCCACCUGCCAGCUGGACCCUCCUCCUCUUCCUCCUCCCCAUGAAUGUCCAGCCUCCAUCCCCACCUCCUCACAGCUUUCAACAGAGAAGUGAGAGAGCUCCAAGAGAGCUUUUCUUGCAGAACUGAGUUGGGGAUGAUUUCUAUGACAUCAAUUGCAUUAUUAAAUAUGCAAGGUCUAAACCACAUUUAAUAACACACUUGUUCCAGUUAAUCUCCCACUAUCAGCUCAACUCUCAAAAUAUUUAAACUCUAGCUGGGAGGUUUAUAUGGGCUAAACAGUAAUUAGAAAGUUUAAUAAGCACUCAGGGAAGCUGCCUGAGCUGUUCUGCAUUUCCUCAUUCAGGUCAAAUAAAAUCUGUGGUUCUGUCUUCUAAAAGGAGUUUGAUAUUUCCUGAAACUCAGUAAACUGUUGGGAAGAUUAAAGUGGGUUAAAAUGAUAACUGUUUUGGGGAGGAAAAAACACUUUCCAAAGCCCACUUUUUAGUUUGU